rnacentral:rRNA from 1 species
AGUAACCGUUGAGAACCUGCCCCGGAGCCGGGAUACCAGGGGAAACUUCUGGCUAAUACCGGAUGCCCUCGGAUGGUCGCAUGGCCGACUGAGGAAAUGUUCCGGCGCUCCGGAAGGGUCUCCGGCCUAUCAGCUUGUUGGGGGGUACGGCCCACCAAGGCAUCGACGGGUAGCUGGUCUGAGAGGACGAUCAGCCCCACUGGGAUUGAGACCCGGCCCAGACUCUUACGGGAGGCAGCAGUGGGGAAUAUUGCGCAAUGGGCGAAAGCCUGACGCAGCAACGCCGCGUGGGGGAUGACGGCCUUCGGGUUGUAAACCCCUUUCAGCAGGGACGAAAAUGACGGUACCUGCAGAAGAAGCCCCGGCCAACUACGUGCCAGCAGCCGCGGUAACACGUAGGGGGCAAGCGUUGUCCGGAUUUAUUGGGCGUAAAGAGCUCGUAGGCGGUUGCGUAAGUCGGAUGUGAAAACUCAGGGCUCAACCCGGAGACGCCAUUCGAUACUGCGCUGACUAGAGUCCGGUAGGGGAGCAUGGAAUUCCUGGUGUAGCGGUGAAAUGCGCAGAUAUCAGGAGGAACACCAGUGGCGAAGGCGGUGCUCUGGGCCGGUACUGACGCUCAGGAGCGAAAGCGUGGCGUAGCGACCAGGAUUAGAUACCCUGGUAGUC